GAUGAACGCUGGCGGCGUGCCUAAUACAUGCAAGUCGAGCGAACAGAUGAGGAGCUUGCUCCUCUGACGUUAGCGGCGGACGGGUGAGUAACACGUGGAUAACCUACCUAUAAGACUGGGAUAACUUCGGGAAACCGGAGCUAAUACCGGAUAAUAUAUUGAACCGCAUGGUUCAAUAGUGAAAGACGGUUUUGCUGUCACUUAUAGAUGGAUCCGCGCCGCAUUAGCUAGUUGGUAAGGUAACGGCUUACCAAGGCAACGAUGCGUAGCCGACCUGAGAGGGUGAUCGGCCACACUGGAACUGAGACACGGUCCAGACUCCUACGGGAGGCAGCAGUAGGGAAUUUUCCGCAAUGGGCGAAAGCCUGACGGAGCAACGCCGCGUGAGUGAUGAAGGUCUUCGGAUCGUAAAACUCUGUUAUUAGGGAAGAACAAAUGUGUAAGUAACUAUGCACGUCUUGACGGUACCUAAUCAGAAAGCCACGGCUAGCUACGUG
rnacentral:rRNA from 1 species